CUUUAAAGAGACUGCCGGUGUUAAACCGGAGGAAGGUGGGGAUGACGUCAAGUCCUCAUGGCCUUUAUGCUUAGGGCUACACACGUGCUACAAUGGGUGGUACAAAGAGAAGCCAACUCGCGAGAGCGCGCCAAUCUCAAAAAGCCAUCCUCAGUUCGGAUUGGAGUCUGCAACUCGACUCCAUGAAGUUGGAAUCGCUAGUAAUCGCGGAUCAGCAUGCCGCGGUGAAUACGUUCCCGGGCCUU
rnacentral:rRNA from 1 species